UCCGUAGGUGAACCUGCGGAAGGGUCUUUUAUG
rnacentral:rRNA from 1 species